UUAUUUUAUUUAUUUUUUUGAGACAGGGUCUUGCUAUGUAGUUCAGUCUUGCCUUGAACUCACUUUGAAGCCCAAGCUAGGCUCGAACUCAUGGCAAUCCUCCUGCCUCAGCCUC
rnacentral:miRNA from 1 species